AUCACACGGGUCAUUUUCUGCGUCUUCCUUGAGAAUGAUUUUGCCAUCUACAAGAAGAAAAUGUCUGACUUUUUCAAAGAUGACACACCACCAUUGUCAAAGUCAGCAACCAAAGAAGAAGGAGGUGAAAGCAACGAAGGUGAAGAAGAACCGGAUGACGACAAAGACGAAGGAGGAGAAGAAGAAGAGCGUGAUGAUGGUAAUGUAGCUGCAGACCAUUAAAGCAUAUUUUCAAAGCCUCUCGUCUUUCUCAAAGCUUCUUGACUUCGUUUGUUAUCAGAAAUUGAAUCUUCUAUUUCUGUCUGUUCCUUCCAUGCGCCACCUCGCCAUUAAAAAAAAAAUUUAACUUAUCACACAAGCUUGGAACAAAGAAAUCCUUCAAUUAUGGAUGGCUUUAGAUGGGACAUUCUCCGUCUCCGUUUUCUUUUUUUUUUCUCUUUUAAUUUAUUAAUGUCUUUGUGGUUCCAUUGCUCUCAUACUGCAAUACAAAGGCAAAGCUCCACAAACUGUGGGAAUAAAGACUUUUUUGAGGUUACGUCGAAAUCCAAGUCUACUCGGCUUCACCCAACCCAAAUGUUUUCCACUCUCUUGACCUUCUCUCUGUUUUUAGAUGGGCCGUUAAACAACGACGUGGAGAUGCUCAGUCAAAACCCAGAGGAAAAUCCAGCCGGAGAUGAGCCAAACCAAGAACAACAGGACGAAGAAAAAGAAAGCCGAGACAAAGAUGAAGAUAUGGCUGUGGACGAUGGGAAGAAGGACAGCGAGGAGAAGGGCCUCGCCACUGAAAAUACUGAAGACAAAGCUGACAAAAAAGAACCUGAAGCAAAGAUGGUGGAAGAAGAGCCAGCAAACUCUGCUAAGGAUAAAGAAGGGGUUUCCAGCACUAAUGCCGGCGACGAAGAUGAGAUGGUAGAUCCUGUUGAGCCUUCAGCAUCAGCCGCCAGCGUUCAGCCCAAAGAUUCUGCUAAAAAGAAUGAAUGACCUGUAGAGAGGAAGAGUCGACCUCAUCUGACAGCCAGCAAACUGUGCAAAGGCCAUCCAGUGGCCCCCCCCCCCACCUUCUCAGUGUGGGCUCUGACCCCGCCCCGGACCACCAGCUAUUCACAAAACGCUCACGUCCCCAACUUUACUUCGCCUCUGUCCUCAUCCUCAGAAAAGAAUCCAUCUUUGACGUCUGUAAAUGUCUGUCUGUAUACGGAGGGACUCCAACAUAUCAACCCGAAAAGAUGAGCCAUACCUCACUG
rnacentral:lncRNA from 1 species